CGUACUCUUAUAAAGUGUCUGAGCAGCUGUGAGGAAUGGUUGCUGCUUGAUUGUCUGUUUGUUUCAUUGUCAGAUUUCUUCUCUAAUAAGGUGAGCAAUCGAUGUUUUCUUUUGUGUUCAGGUAGAAAGAAGUAUUGUUUUAUGGGGUUUUUCUCUUCCAUAGGCUGCGUUUAUCCUUCAUGUGCAAGUGUUGUGCAUUUAAUAAGAGGAACUGCAUUUGGUCACUGCUGUCCUUCUUUACCCUUUAUUUUUGGGUUUUGUGAUUUAAUGUUUGUUUGGUUUUCUUUAUUUAAGGCACCCAUCACGUUGUAUGGAUGCUGUGUUUAGCUGAUUGUUAAAAAGACUAUAGGGGGAUUGUUUGCAGAUAUUUUACUGUAUGAUAACCAACUGAUUUUGUGUAUCUGUUCCUUUCCAGUGGAUCAUCUGGGAGCACUGGUUGGAUUGUGGGUGUUGGUCCUUUGAUGGUGGAAUCUGUGCUACGGUUUACACUGCAUGCUGUGUGAAUUUUAUUUAUUUACGGUGUGUGGCACUUUGCGUGUGUGUGGGUGUGCGUGCGUGUGUGUGUUGAUGAUGUGUUUUUCUUUACAGGCACCAUUUUGGGUGAACCUUUUGGGGUUAAAGUGGGCCUGCACCCGUGGCCUGUCAGUCUUCCUUUGUAUCCACUGGAAUGUUUGGUGUUAAUUGAUUGAUCAAGAUUUUAGACUUCUAUUUGGUGAUGCAACCGCUGCAAACUUGUUGAAGUGUGCUUUAGCUCUAUCUUGAAUCUACUCUCUUCUGGUAAGACACAGACGUUCCCAUCCACAGAACAGAUGUCACAUUGCCAGUAACCUCAUUUACCCUCCACUGUUGUCUCAAUCGCAAACAGCGGUGGUAGGUGGGCUCUGGAAUUGUCAGUCUGCUGUAAGGAAAGCUGACUUUAUCACAGGCUUGGCUUCCCACUACACCUUUGA